rnacentral:misc_RNA from 1 species
ACAGAAUUUCGAAAAUAUCCCAAAUUCCAGAAGGACGAUCAAUAUCCGUCUCGAUGAUGUUCUCGAUGCCAUCGUUCAUGAAUUUAGAGAUCGUCUCUAACUCGUCGAACAUAGUAACGUACCUUACAAGUUAAUAAAUUUCGAGGUUUUCCUCGUGACCGUACCGGGAUGUGUGCCUCGUUGUCAGCAGCAUCCGAAACAAUCCGCUUGCCUUGCGGUUUCGCAAUCACGAGAAGGUUUCUCC